rnacentral:tRNA from 1 species
GGAGAUAUAGCUCAGUUGGUAGAGUGCUUGUCUAAUGCUGCACAAGGUCCUGGGUUCAAUCCCCAGCACCACCA